rnacentral:ncRNA from 1 species
UCCCUGGUUGAUCCUGCCAGUAGUCAUAUGCAUUAAGCCAUGCAUGUCUCAGUGCAUGCCGAAUUAAGGUGAAACCGCGAAUGGCUCAU